UCAAACUAAUAUCAGUUUUUAAAAUCUUUAUAAAGCACAUAUUUAGUGUAUUUACACUGUAACAUAGAUAUCUCGACACCAAUCCAAGAUGAUCGCAUUUAAUGUUUAUGGACUCCAAGAUUCGCCCCUCACAAAUCGUUCUGGAGACGCCCCUGUCAGUGUCGGAUCAUCCAGACUGUUGGGACCUCAGAGUGCCUCUAUAAACUUCCCACAGUUUGAAUGUUUUCCCUGAUUAGUAACCGAAACCGGACCCCCGGCGGCCGGAGCGCUUUCUGAGAGCUGUGGGUCCGGCGGGCUGCAGAUGAAGGGGAGGGAAUCCCUCCAGUGUCUGACGCUUUCUUUUUUACCAAGGAAACCCACACGCGCUCGCUGACGCAACUGCCCAUUUUAGGAAACAUGCGUCAAUGGGCCGAAGAAAGUGAGACAAAACCGGUGAAGUCCACAGCGGAUCGCUGACGUCCGCCGAUACCAAAAAUAAAAUAAUAAUAAUAAAAAAAAACCCCGCUUUAACUGUAAACCACGUUUUGGAUCUUUAGUCUCUGGUGUCCACCGGGGGAGAAACGAGCUCUGCUCUCUCUUUGCUGUGAUCCACAAGACAAGAGGAGCGAACCCCUCCCCCUGCUGGAUGUUUGCAACGCCCCGCCGUGACGUCGGACGUUUCGUUGGUGUUGAAAAGCCGUCGCGCUUCUUCUUAGUGCCAUUGAAGUGAGUCAUCUCUAGGAAGUGGGGUGAAAAGGGAAAGAAAGAAAAAAAGUUCGAGGUGUUCCGUGAGCGACAGAGAGAGCUCAGAGCAGAGACUACUCCGGGAACUACGACACCUCGUCCCGCGGCAGCAGCACCUCUCCGGCCCAGCCAGAGUCCUUCACAAGCGGCAGCAGCACGAUCGGGAGUCCGAUCUCUACCUCAAAC